rnacentral:rRNA from 1 species
CCUACGGGAGGCAGCAGUGAGGAAUAUUGGUCAAUGGCCGGAAGGCUGAACCAGCCAAGCCGCGUGAAGGACGAAGGUGCCAAGCAUUGUAAACUUCUUUUGUCAAGGGACAAAAUCAGGCUCGAGAGCCUGACCGAGGGUACUUGAAGAAAAAGCAUCGGCUAACUCCGUGCCAGCAGCCGCGGUAAUACGGAGGAUGCGAGCGUUAUCCGGAUUUAUUGGGUUUAAAGGGUGCGUAGGCGGACUGUUAAGUCAGCGGUAAAAGCCCGGGGCUCAACCCGGGCGAGCCGUGGAAACUGGCUGGCUUGAGAGGGCGAGAGGUAUGCGGAAUGCGCGGUGUAGCGGUGAAAUGCUUAGAUAUUGCGCAGAACUCCGAUUGCGAAGGCAGCAUACCGGCGGCGAUCUGACGCUGAGGCACGAAAGCGUGGGUAUCGAACAGGAUUAGAUACCCCAGUAGUC